AACGCACCUUGCACCCUUUGGCAUUCCGAAGGGUAUGCUCGUUUGAGUGUCAUUGUACUCUCACACUUCCAAUUCUUUGGAUUGGGAGCGGUGGACUUGGGUGCUGCUGCUUACCGUGGCUCACCUCAAAUGUGUUAGUGCAACCGUUGGUUAGACAUAGUACAGCGUGAUAAGUAUCUUCGCUGGCGCCUCACUCGAGGGUGGCUGAUCAGGGCUCUGUGCUUCCAAUCGUCUUCGGACAAUGGCUGACAACUUGACCUCAAAUCGAGUAGGACUACCCGCUGAACUUAA
rnacentral:misc_RNA from 1 species